GGGAGGGGCCUGGCUUCCGAGGACCCAGCUCUCCAGGCCUCCGAGCAGGUGUCUUUGGGAGGGACACCGCCUUCCCUCCCGCUGGGGGACAGAUGUGAGCCACGUGUGGCCUCGGCAGGUUGAAAAGUCGGGGAACCCGCUGAUCAGAGGAGGGGGAGAUGAGGAGGGCAGGGGUCCGCCCCGACUUCUGCAGAGAGAGGACCCCUGCUCUCGGCACCAUGGGCCUGCCCUCCCCCCCAGGAUGCUGUCCCUGCACCUGCAUAGCUCUUGCCUGUGAGAUGGCCCCCGAGGGGAGCGGCAGCUGCCGGCUCAGGUCCCCGCCAGCCCCAGGGCCUCCCCCAAAGGCAAAACCCGCAGGAGCAAAUUGUGCCCGGCAUCCCAAGAAAGAGCAGGAGGUUUGGAGCCGUGGUGCAGGUGGUCCUCACCAUCCAGGCGCCCGUGCAGCUGACAGGUGGCGCCUGCGUGGCCGCACGACCUGGCCGGACUGCCAGUCCCGGGACAAGUGACAGCUCGAGCCGUGCGUUUGCAGAAGAUGCGGGUUUCCGGAAAUCCUUGAAAGUGAUUGUUAGGCUGAGCUGUUCCAAGCAGGUGCAAAACCAGACGUGAGCUCAUGACCUGUGAGAGAGAGAUCUACGCUGCUGUGUUCGCUGCAGAAUUAUGGGCGACGGCCAGGACACCUGAGUGAUGCCCUGGGAUGCUGUUUAGCCGCGAGAGAGGACACCCUGCCGUUCGCAGCAGGGGCGGCCCCGGAGGCCCUGUGCUGAGCGAGAGACGGAGAGAGAGUCAAAGACCAAAUGCGCUCGCUUAUGCGUGGACUCUGGAGGCAUCGGAUCCUAGAAACAGAGCAGAGGGUUGUUAGCAGGGGCGGGGGUGGGGAGGUGGAGAGGUGUCGACUCAGGGGCGCGGCUGCCAGCGAUUCGAUGAAUGGCUCCUGGGGCCUCAGCUUGGGGACCGUGGUCAACGACACCGUCUCGUGUGCAUCAAGGACGAGACUCUUGCUGAGGGAGCAGCGCUCGGAACUUAGUGCCCCUCGUUCUUUCACAGGCAACUGUGGGGGCGCCUGGGGGCUCAGUGGGUUGAGCGUCUG